rnacentral:rRNA from 1 species
GACGUAGGGGGCCAGCGUUGUUCGGAAUUACUGGGUGUAAAGGGUUCGUAGGCGGUGUGGCAAGUCGGGAGUGAAAUCUCUGGGCUCAACUCAGAGACUGCUUCCGAAACUGCUGUGCUGGAGUGUGGGAGAGGCGCGUGGAAUUGCAGGUGUAGCGGUGAAAUGCGUAGAUAUGUGGAGGAACACCGAUGGCGAAGGCAGCCCCCUGGGUCAAAACUGACGCUCAUGCACGAAAGCGUGGGGAGCAAACAGG